AUGUACUUGAGCCUAGACUCGGAAUUCCUGUCGACAGUACAUAUAAGAUGGAGCUUGUCAAAAUUGGCAUUCCUGUCGACAGUACAUAUAAGAUGGAGCUUGUCAAAAUUUCGUUCUUAUAUGGAAUGUUUCAGAGCAAACCAUCGACAGAUUAUCCUUGGAGAUUCGUUCUCCCCAUUGACAGAUGGAGCUGUUUCCACUGCGGCAUGCAUGAUGACAUGGGCCAGGUCGCCACGGAAAAAAC
rnacentral:lncRNA from 1 species